AUGAGUCAUGCAAAUCUGGCUGAAUUCUCCUCCAUUUCAGUAAUAAGAAAUCUCCAGUGCCAGAGGAUGCAACAGCCUUAUUCGGCCCUCCUCUGGAGACAGCCUUUGAUGAGCAGAAGACCAGUGAAGCUCUGCCUCCGCUUCCGCCUAAGAAUGUGCCGACCUCCCCCCCUCCGAUUGAAUCUGCUGCUACAGAACUUACCGGUAAGAUGCCCUAAACACCCAGGCUUUAGUCUAUACCAGGGGUGUCUGAUCCUGCUCCUGGAGGAGCACGGUUCUGCAGACUGUAUUUCCAGUCCCAAUUAACCACACCUCAACCAGCUAAUCGAGGUCUUGAGGAAUGCUAGAAACUUUGAGGCAGGUCUGUUGGGGCACGUUAUCCCUCCAGCUGGUACGAGUGGAAAUGAAAGUGGUGAGUUUUAUCUAAGAAAAACCUGUCAACCAGACCAUCGGUCACAGGACAUUUAAAGGUUUAGAUCACCCGAAAAAUAAACCUUGUGUCAUCAAAAUUUCACUUGUCCUUUGAAACCUUUAUGAGGUUUUCUGUGGAGCACAAAAGGAGUUAUUAAGCAGAAAGCUUUUCUCUUUCCAUUUAUUGAAAGUGAUUUCAGUGAAUGUUUCAGUCUGUUCCUCACACAAAGCUAUCAUAUGACUUCAGAAUAUUUUAAAGUUGUAUGGACAUUUUAUGAUGCUUUUUGGAGCUUGACAUCUACUAGUCCCCAUCCAGUUUCAUUGUAUGAGUGAGAGCAGCUUAGACGUUCUGCUAAACCUCUCCUUCUGUGUGCCCUUGACAAAAGAAAGUCGCUCGGGUUUUGGCAUUUCAUUGCCAAAAUAAUUGCUAGUUGCAAACUUGUUUUAUUCUGUUGAUAAUUUUGAAAAGGUUUUUAAUUUUGAAUAACUAAACCUGCCUCUCACUGUUAACAUAGCCAAAGAAACUGGUGUUAAAAAAGGAAAGCAAAAAUAAAUGAUUAGUUGCAGGCCUAAAUUUUAGGUGAACUAACCCUCAAACAAUGGCAACCAGCAAUAUAAAAAAAAUCCACAUUAUGGAAAAAACAAAUUUAGAUUUAUAGAGUAUACUCUAAGGCAAUAAUCAGUAACAAAAGGUUCUGAAUGUUGAAAUACAUAUAAAUUUGGUUGAGUCUGAAUUUCAAGUCGUUCUGCUCCAGUCACCAUCAUGUUACAUGUACUAUAUAUGGGUUUUUACAGGAGCACUGCCUCAGUAAGAAGGAUGAAGGGUAUCUGACACUUUUUGCCUCAUUGUUUUCUAUAUAUAGGCACAUUGAGUCAUAUUUUGGCAGUUUAAAGUUUUAAUAUUUUUGUUUUCAGUGUUUCUGUAAUCUCUGCAGGUUUCUGUGUAAAGUGUGAUGGUUCUCUUAAAGUUUUAUUUAAUCUGAGCAGAUGGGCUUGUAUACAGUAGUUCAUUUCUGAGGCUAUUCCAGUCAAGUAUCAUACAUUCUUGAAUGUACAAUCAUUUUAUUUGAAUUGAUUGAGUUUGAUGCAUGUUACUCUUUGAACGGCUUUGCUUUAAUGGAAUACUGUCGCUCCACAGGCUCCUCCUCCCCUGCACGUCCCUCUACACCAUUGGAUACCAGCAGCUCUCCCCCUCCCCCUCCCCCUCCUCGGCCACCCUCACGACCCAAACUGCCUCCUGGAAAACCAAGCGUAGGGGACGUGGUAUGUAAUAACAUAAAACAUUUACAGUACUUUCAAAUACUAUUACGGUGACUGUAAGCUUCCUACAAAUUCUUAAUGUCACUGAACUUUUCAUAGACUAUGUAAUUUUUUAACUUUUAUAGGUUGUCAGAACUCACCCCUCAAAAUAUCAGACCAAGUCCUAGUUUGAUAUUUACUACCCAUGUAAUAUCUUAAUAAAACCUAGUUAGUGAACAAAAUACAGAAACUGCCACAGCGUGCUUUGUGUAAAUUUC
rnacentral:lncRNA from 1 species